GGAUACUGGAAACCGGAGCUAAUACCGGAUAAUAUUUCGAACCGCAUGGUUCGAUAGUGAAAGAUGGUUUUGCUAUCACUUAUAGAUGGACCUGCGCCGUAUUAGCUAGUUGGUAAGGUAACGGCUUACCAAGGCGACGAUACGUAGCCGACCUGAGAGGGUGAUCGGCCACACUGGAACUGAGACACGGUCCAGACUCCUACGGGAGGCAGCAGUG
rnacentral:rRNA from 1 species